rnacentral:rRNA from 1 species
GCGGAAACGAUGAUUCUGAUACUUCGAGUUGAAGGAUUAGGCGUCGAGCGGCGGACGGGUGAGUAAUGCCUAGGAAAUUGCCCAGUUGUGGGGGAUAACAGUUGGAAACGACUGCUAAUACCGCAUACGCCCUCCGGGGGAAAGGGUGGGACCACUUCGGUGGCCAUUCGCGAUUGGAUAUGCCUAGGUGAGAUUAGCUAGUUGGUAGGGUAAAGGCCUACCAAGGCGACGAUCUCUAGCUGGUUUGAGAGGAUGACCAGCCACAUCGGAACUGAGACACGGUCCGAACUCCUACGGGAGGCAGCAGUGGGGAAUAUUGCACAAUGGGGGAAACCCUGAUGCAGCCAUGCCGCGUGUGUGAAGAAGGCUUUCGGGGUGUAAAGCACUUUCAGCGAGGAGGAAGGGCCUUAAGUCAAUAGCUUGUUAUUUUGACUUUACUCG